GCCGGCGUUAUCUCCCUGCACGCAAUGUUUAUCUCCUGCGCGCUCAUUCUUCUUCCUCCCUGGCGCUCGUCGCUUCUCUCUGGUCAGCCCUGCUCUCCAUCGCACGCCGCGCGCCAUGGAGAACUCCCUGUGCGCACUGCUUCUUCUCUGCUCCUCCAGUCGCGCCCUGCAUUUCUCUCUCCCUCGCGGCUUCUCUUUCCCGCUAGCUCCUCCCUACGCGCCCAGUGCCGUGCGCCUGCGUCCUGCGCCGCGACUCCCGCCGUGGAGCUUCCUCGCCGCCCCAGCUCGGAUCUCCUCUGCCGGCGCGCCCCAAGCUUCUUUCCGCGCGCCCUGGCCUUCCUCUGCCGGUGCCCUGUCCCAGUGUCGCGGCGCCCUGCUCGUUCUUCUUGGCGCUCGGCCUUGAAGCUCCCAUGGCUGCCUGCGUCGCGCCCUGCUCCCUCUGUCUGUUUGCCGCACGAAGCUUGCUCCUCUGCGCCCGUCUUCUCCCUCGCCGUGCUCCUCUGCUGAACUUGGUGCCCAGCGCGUCCCUCUGCCCCGGCGUGUCGUGCU
rnacentral:misc_RNA from 1 species